AUUUCUUGUUAUGGCACCUGCGGUGCUACUGGCAUCGAGUGGGCAGAGGCCAGGGAUGCUGCUAUACAUCUUACAGUGCACAGGACGGUCCCCACAACAGUUA